rnacentral:rRNA from 1 species
GACGAACCGUCCAAACGUUAUUCGGAAUCACUGGGCUUACAGAGUUCGUAGGCGGUCUGGAAAGUUGGGUGUGAAAUCCCUCGGCUCAACCGAGGAACUGCGCUUGAAACUACCAGACUCGAGGGGGAUAGAGGAAAGCGGAACUGAUGGUGGAGCGGUGAAAUGCGUUGAUAUCAUCAGGAACACCGGUGGCGAAGGCGGCCUUCUGGGUCUUACCUGACGCUGAGGAACGAAAGCCAGGGGAGCGAACGGG